rnacentral:rRNA from 1 species
UACGUAGGGGGCAAGCGUUGUCCGGAAUUACUGGGCGUAAAGCGCACGUAGGCGGAUUUGUAAGUCAGGGGUGAAAUCCCGGGGCUCAACCUCGGAACUGCCUUUGAUACUGCGAAUCUCGAGUCCGGAAGAGGUGAGUGGAAUUCCUAGUGUAGAGGUGAAAUUCGUAGAUAUUAGGAAGAACACCAGUGGCGAAGGCGGCUCACUGGUCCGGUACUGACGCUGAGGUGCGAAAGCGUGGGGAGCAAACAGGG